UCAGACAGGUCGCAGCGGACAACUCAGCAAAAUGAAGACAUCUACCAAGACAGUUCCUUUUUAACAAAGACCCUUUUGAUCUGAUCAACAACAUGCCUCGUCGCUAUCUCGCACCCCCCAAUGAACCUGCAAGUGAUCACUCAUGUUUCCUGAUUUCAUCACAGACACAAAGAAUGAACGUUGAUCACUCAUGUUUCCUGAUUUCAUCACAGACACAAAGAAUGGUUGCUGAUCACUCAUACUCCUCAUCACACUGUUCCAUAUCAGUAUGUAACACCUUGUGAUUUUUCUGCUUACGAGACAAAGCCCACGUGCUUUCCCCCUUCCCUUUAGGGGCGUUUGUCUCAUUUUGUGGGUAGGGCAAAUCCAAAUAAAAAGCGCAGGAGUGCAUACAG